GACGAACGCUGGCGGCGUGCUUAACACAUGCAAGUCGAACGGAAGGGCCCUUCGGGGUACACGAGUGGCGAACGGGUGAGUAACACGUGGGUGAUCUGCCCUGCACUUCGGGAUAAGCCUGGGAAACUGGGUCUAAUACCGGAUAGGACCACUGCCUGCAUGGGUGGUGGUGGAAAGCUUUUGCGGUGUGGGAUGGGCCCGCGGCCUAUGAGCUUGUUGGUGGGGUGAUGGCCUACCAAGGCGACGACGGGUAGCCGGGCUGAGAGGGUGACCGGCCACGCUGGCGCGGAAAUGCGGCCCAGACUCCUACGGGAGGCAGCAGUGGGGAAUAUUGCACAAUGGGCGCAAGCCUGAUGCAGCGACGCCGCGUGAGGGAUGACGGCCUUCGGGUUGUAAACCUCUUUCAGCACCGACGAAGCGCAAGUGACGGUAGGUGCAGAAGAAGGACCGGCCAACUACGUGCCAGCCGCCGCCGUAA
rnacentral:rRNA from 1 species